rnacentral:rRNA from 1 species
GUGGGGAAUAUUGGACAAUGGGCGAAAGCCUGAUCCAGCCAUGCCGCGUGAGUGAUGAAGGCCUUAGGGUUGUAAAGCUCUUUCAGUAGGGAAGAUAAUGACGGUACCUACAGAAGAAGCCCCGGCUAACUUCGUGCCAGCAGCCGCGGUAAUACGAAGGGGGCUAGCGUUGUUCGGAUUUACUGGGCGUAAAGCGCACGUAGGCGGAUUGGUCAGUUAGAGGUGAAAUCCUGGAGCUCAACUCCAGAACUGCCUUUAAUACUGUCAGUCUAGAGUCCAGAAGAGGUGAGUGGAACUCCUAGUGUAGAGGUGGAAUUCGUAGAUAUUAGGAAGAACACCAGUGGCGAAGGCGGCUCACUGGUCUGGUACUGACGCUGAGGUGCGAAAGCGUGGGGAGCAAACAGGAUUAGAAACCCUGGUAGUCC